rnacentral:rRNA from 1 species
GAUGAACGCUGGCGGCGUGCCUAAUACAUGCAAGUCGAGCGAACGGACGAGAAGCUUGCUUCUCUGAUGUUAGCGGCGGACGGGUGAGUAACACGUGGAUAACCUACCUAUAAGACUGGGAUAACUUCGGGAAACCGGAGCUAAUACCGGAUGAUAUUUUGAACCGCAUGGUUCAAAAGUGAAAGACGGUCUUGCUGUCACUUAUAGAUGGAUCCGCGCUGCAUUAGCUAGUUGGUAAGGUAACGGCUUACCAAGGCAACGAUGCAUAGCCGACCUGAGAGGGUGAUCGGCCACACUGGAACUGAGACACGGUCCAGACUCCUACGGGAGGCAGCAGUAGGGAAUCUUCCGCAAUGGGCGAAAGCCUGACGGAGCAACGCCGCGUGAGUGAUGAAGGUCUUCGGAUCGUAAAACUCUGUUAUUAGGGAAGAACAUAUGUGUAAGUAAUUGUGCACAUCUUGACGGUACCUAAUCAGAAAGCCACGGCUAACUACGUG